rnacentral:rRNA from 1 species
UACGGAGGGAGCUAGCGUUGUUCGGAAUUACUGGGCGUAAAGCGCACGUAGGCGGCUUUGUAAGUUAGAGGUGAAAGCCCGGAGCUCAACUCCGGAACUGCCUUUAAGACUGCAUCGCUUGAAUCCAGGAGAGGUGAGUGGAAUUCCGAGUGUAGAGGUGAAAUUCGUAGAUAUUCGGAAGAACACCAGUGGCGAAGGCGGCUCACUGGACUGGUAUUGACGCUGAGGUGCGAAAGCCAGGGGAGCAAACGGG